CGAAGAGAAAGGACGAGUGCAGUGUUUCACGUGACUAUGUUCCAGAUUUGGAUUGUCUGCAUCCACAAUCUUCAGACAAAGAUCUGCCAGCUCUGU
rnacentral:sRNA from 1 species